rnacentral:rRNA from 1 species
UACGAAGGGGGCUAGCGUUGCUCGGAAUGACUGGGCGUAAAGGGCUCGUAGGUGGCCAACUAAGUCAGACGUGAAAUCCCCAGGCUCAACUUGGGAACUGCGUCUGAUACUGGAUGGCUUGAAUCCGGGAGAGGGAUGCAGAAUUCCAGGUGUAGCGGUGAAAUGCGUAGAUAUCUGGAGGAAUACCGGUGGCGAAGGCGGCAUCCUGGACCGGGAUUGACACUGAGGAGCGAAAAGCUAGGGGAGCAAACGGG